CCUACGGGAGGCAGCAGUAGGGAAUAUUGCUCAAUGGGGGAAACCCUGAAGCAGCAACGCCGCGUGGAGGAUGAAGGUUUUCGGAUUGUAAACUCCUUUUGUUAGAGGAGAUAAUGACGGUAUCUAACGAAUAAGCACCGGCUAACUCCGUGCCAGCAGCCGCGGUAAUACGGAGGGUGCAAGCGUUACUCGGAAUCACUGGGCGUAAAGAGCGCGUAGGCGGGAUAGCAAGUCAGAUGUGAAAUCCUAGGGCUUAACCAUAGAACUGCAUUUGAAACUGUUAUUCUAGAGUAUGGGAGAGGUAUGUGGAAUUCGUGGUGUAGGGGUAAAAUCCGUAGAUAUCAAGAGGAAUACUCAUUGCGAAGGCGACCUGCUAGAACAUAACUGACGCUGAUGCGCGAAAGCGUGGGUAGCAAACAGGAUUAGAUACCCCAGUAGUC
rnacentral:rRNA from 1 species